CUGCAAAGUUCUGUCUUCUAUGCCCACCCUCUCCAGUUAUUUAUGGGCAUUCCUCACAUUAGAAUGCUAAUUGUUUCACUUCUGCUGCUCACUCAUCUACUGGUAGCAGCUGUAUUGGGACAGGAGGACCCGAGAGGCCAUAGCCCUCUAGAGAACCUGGUAUUUGAAGUUUCUUUGUCUCUCUUCAUGUGCAUACCCCUGAAGACAUUUCAAGGGUGCUUUCAUAAGCAUAGCUUUUAAUGGCUAACAAAUAACAUGUGUGGAAUGCCAUAUUUAAGACAUUUAUAAUUCCAGCUUAAGCGAAUAUUGCUACAGCGCACAGGUAUUUGAAGUUGCAAGGAAUAUCUGAUGGGUGAAAAAUUGUCCAAGGAAGAAUUUAUCAAUAUGGGAAACUCUCCCAAGAUAAAGGACCCUGAGAGUUGAUGCCAUCAU
rnacentral:lncRNA from 12 species